rnacentral:rRNA from 1 species
GAUGAACGCUGGCGGCGUGCCUAAUACAUGCAAGUCGAGCGAACAGACGAGGAGCUUGCUCCUCUGACGUUAGCGGCGGACGGGUGAGUAACACGUGGAUAACCUACCUAUAAGACUGGGAUAACUUCGGGAAACCGGAGCUAAUACCGGAUAAUAUAUUGAACCGCAUGGUUCAAUAGUGAAAGACGGUUUUGCUGUCACUUAUAGAUGGAUCCGCGCCGCAUUAGCUAGUUGGUAAGGUAACGGCUUACCAAGGCAACGAUGCGUAGCCGACCUGAGAGGUGGAGGGCCCCCACUGGAAAUGAGACCCGGUCCAGACCCCCACGGGAGGCCGCAGUAGAGAACUUUCCACAAAGGGCGAAACCUUGACGGAACAACGCCGCGUGGGUGAGGGAGGUUCUGGAUUUUUAAAACCUUGUUUUUAAGGAAGAACAAUUGUGAAAAUAAUUUAGGCCGGUGCGGCGGUACCAAUUCAAAAACCCGCGGCAAACUACCG